GACGAAGGGGGCAAGCGUUGUUCGGAAUUACUGGGCGUAAAGGGCGCGUAGGCGGUUCUUUAAGUCAGGCGUGAAAGCCCUGGGCUCAACCUGGGAGUGGCGCUUGAUACUGGAGGACUAGAGAGUGGGAGAGGUUGGUGGAAUUCCCAGUGUAGAGGUGAAAUUCGUAGAUAUUGGGAAGAACACCGAUGGCGAAGGCAGCCCCCUGGGUCAACACUGACGCUCAUGCACGAAAGCGUGGGGAGCAAACAGG
rnacentral:rRNA from 1 species